UACGGAGGAUCCAAGCGUUAUCCGGAUUUAUUGGGUUUAAAGGGAGCGUAGGCGGCCUAUUAAGUCAGAGGUGAAAGACGGUAGCUCAACUAUCGCAGUGCCUUUGAUACUGAUGGGCUUGAAUACAGAUGAGGUAGGCGGAAUGUGACAAGUAGCGGUGAAAUGCAUAGAUAUGUCACAGAACACCGAUUGCGAAGGCAGCUUACUAAACUGUGAUUGACGCUGAGGCUCGAAAGCGUGGGGAUCAAACAGG
rnacentral:rRNA from 1 species